rnacentral:rRNA from 1 species
AAACCUGACCCAGCAAUGCCGCGUGUGUGAAGAAGGCCUUCGGGUUGUAAAGCACUUUUGUCCGGAAAGAAAACUUCUGCCCUAAUACGGUGGGAGGAUGACGGUACCGGAAGAAUAAGCACCGGCUAACUACGUGCCAGCAGCCGCGGUAAUACGUAGGGUGCGAGCGUUAAUCGGAAUUACUGGGCGUAAAGCGUGCGCAGGCCGGUUCGUUAAGACAGAUGUGAAAUCCCCGGGCUUAACCUGGGAACUGCAUUUGUGACUGGCGAGCUAGAGUAUGGCAGAGGGGGGUAGAAUUCCACGUGUAGCAGUGAAAUGCGUAGAGAUGUGGAGGAAUACCGAUGGCGAAGGCAGCCCCCUGGGCCAAUACUGACGCUCAUGCACGAAAGCGUGGGGAGCAAACAGGAUUAGAUACCCUGGUAGUCCACGCCCUAAACGAUGUCAACUAGUUGUUGGGUCUUCAUUGACUUAGUAACGUAGCUAACGCGUGAAGUUGACCGCCUGGGGAGUACGGUCGCAAGAUUAAAACUCAAAGGAAUUGACGGGGACCCGCACAAGCGGUGGAUGAUGUGGAUUAAUUCGAUGCAACGCGAAAAACCUUACCUACCCUUGACAUGGUCGGAACCCUGCUGAAAGGUGGGGGUGCUCGAAAGAGAACCGGAUACACAGGUGCUGCAUGGCUGUCGUCAGCUCGUU